rnacentral:snRNA from 1 species
AAAAAAAAAGAGGGACGAAU